rnacentral:sRNA from 1 species
GUAAAUUAUUAUUGUUUUUUCCAAUUAUAAUAGAGAAUGUCGCUGGGCAAAGGAAAAUCGGAGGCGUGUCCAAUGAAUUUCGACUCUAUUCCAGUAGUGCUCUGUAAUGGCGAUCCAUUUAAAGUGAA